GUGGGGAAUAUUGCACAAUGGGGGAAACCCUGAUGCAGCGACGCCGCGUGAAGGAAGAAGUAUUUCGGUAUGUAAACUUCUAUCAGCAGGGAAGAAAAUGACGGUACCUGACUAAGAAGCCCCGGCUAACUACGUGCCAGCAGCCGCGGUAAUACGUAGGGGGCAAGCGUUAUCCGGAUUUACUGGGUGUAAAGGGAGCGUAGGCGGUCUGACAAGUCAGAGGUGAAAGCCCGGGGCUCAACUCCGGGACUGCCUUUGAAACUGCCGGACUAGAUUGCAGGAGAGGCAAGUGGAAUUCCUAGUGUAGCGGUGAAAUGCGUAGAUAUUAGGAGGAACACCAGUGGCGAAGGCGGCUUGCUGGACUGUAAAUGACGCUGAGGCUCGAAAGCGUGGGGAGCAAACAGGAUUAGAUACCCUAGUAGUCC
rnacentral:rRNA from 1 species